UACAGAGGGGGCAAGCGUUGUUCGGAAUUACUGGGCGUAAAGGGCGCGUAGGCGGCCUGUUAAGUCGGACGUGAAAUCCCUCGGCUCAACCGGGGAACUGCGUCCGAUACUGGAUGGCUUGAAUUCGGGAGAGGGAUGCAGAAUUCCAGGUGUAGCGGUGAAAUGCGUAGAUAUCUGGAGGAAUACCGGUGGCGAAGGCGGCAUCCUGGACCGACAUUGACGCUGAGGAGCGAAAGCUAGGGGAGCAAACGGG
rnacentral:rRNA from 1 species